rnacentral:lncRNA from 1 species
GCUGCUGGGGCUGGAGCCGCGCUGCUCAGACCCUGGCUGCCUUUGCCGCCUGCACCGCCACUGACUCGACCCCUCGUCCGAGAUUGAUUGGGCUGCUUGGAGGCCCCUCGCGGUCACUGCCACCAGCCCCUGAUCUUCGGGUUUCAUCGCGAGUCCCCGUCCUUGCCUGCAGCCCCUGGAUUCUCGCCGGCCCAGCCACAUCGUCCACCCUCCCCGAGCCUCUGGCGGCGCCUCCCGGGACCAGCGGGGGCCCACGCUGGAGGCUGCCUGGGCCAUUCUGACGCACCAGCCUGAGGGAACAUUCCCUGGCCUCCCGCCCCUCCUUUCCCCUGCCUAGAGCUGGCCUGCGUGUCCCAGAACUGGGCUUCUCCCGCCUCACCUGCUCCCCACCGCACUCCAGAUCGCUGCGGGCGCGGCUUCCUCGCCCUGGAGCACUCUUCCUCUCCCUCCGCAUUUUCCCUGGCCUGGAUGGGAGAAUCGUUGGUCACUGCUGAAGGAAGAAAGGGAGGAAGGGAGAUGAGAGGGAAGGAAAGACAAAUGUACUUAUGACUGCGUCUUUUCCUCCACUUGGGACUUUUUGUUCCAAUGUCCCUAGUCUCAGCCAUGGGAAAGAAGAUGGGGACCCAGAGCGCUCCACUGGCCUCUCCUCUGCUACUGCCCACCCCAUCCUGCCUGCCUGGUCAGCUCCAGUCCAGCCACUUGUUGCUGCCUGUAGGCUCAUGUAAGGCACAGUGACCUUGCCACAUCUCCAUGGAGGAGGAGGCAGGUGUAAGCACACCCCUCUGAGCCACCUACUCUGGGGGCCUGCUGGCAGGAACAGGAGAAGGAGUCAGGGUUGGGGUUGCGUCCCCACAGAAGAUAGCAGUGAGCACAGGCCACACACGACACUGGCACAUUCUGGUUGGGCCUUUCCUUAGCCGGCUCCAUUCCUCAGAUAGGAAAACCCAGACAGAGACAAAGGACCUACCUGGGACCUGUAUAGGUCCAGUCCCUCCCUCUGCCGCCUAGUGAGAGAGGACUGAAGAUGAAGAGUGAGGAUGAAUUGAGAGCAGGUGGUGUCACAUCUGCCCUGUCAGUGAGUUGGUCAACAGAGGUCUUUAGGGGGCUAUACCUGGACAGGGACCCCAAAGGGAAGAUGGAGGGUCUGCAAGGGGGCUGCUAGCUGCUGUCAGCGUCCACCCAGUCUGCAGGCUGCCCCCUGACCCUGCUUGAUGGGGACAGGUGUGUCAUGCAUGUUGCCGUGCAACCCAAGCUCAGUGUGUGGGUGGCACCCAGGGCUGCACUGGCUGUCAGGGUCCACAAGUGGUCUGGGUCAGGAUGGGGCAGGAACAUCCUUCUCUGAGUUCCCUGAUUACCCAGGAAGGCUGGCGGGGCAGGGGGUCCACUCAUCCAGACCCGUUGGCCAGCCCACCAAGGUGUGCAUCUCCCUUUUGGCUCCAAGGCCCGCCUUGGCCGGGUGACAGCUGGGGAAACUGAUACCAGCUCGUAGCUCUGGACUGCUGGGUGGCAAGGCCCUGUGGUCGCUGGGAGCCAGGCUUCCUCAGUCCCGCGCGUUCGCUGCUGACAAUUGAGCGACCAAAGCAGAUUAACUUGGGUGUUAAUCCCCACCUAAUGGCUUCAGAAUCCCCGGCUCCAGGAGCUAAGCCGUCCUUUCUCCGAGCGCGGCCGAGCCCUCCGCGGCUUCAGCCCCGCAGCGGCGCCGAUGCUAUCUCUGCCUGCCCGGCCGCGGUACCGCGCUAAUCCCCGGCGCUCCUUUCUUCCCCGGCCCGUCCAAGGUCGGCCGAUUGGGGUUUGAUUAUGGCCGCUAUCGAGGGCCCCUUUGUGCGACCGGCCCUAAAUCCCCUAAUUCCGUGAUAAAAGAGGCAUUAGCGGGCGUUUGUGGCUGAGAAAGGAACAGAGAUGAAAGAAAGCAAUCAGGAGAUCCGGACGGCCGCGCCCUCGAGGCGGGGUGGCCUCGACCCAGCGGGGGGCGGCCUGGGCCCGGGCUUCCUCCACCCCAACCAGCCCUGAGCGGGGCCAGCGACCCCUCCCCACCUCCUUGGCUGUCCCUCCCCACUGUUCCGGCUGCCACUUGGCUCGGGAACCCCCUGGGCUCACAUGCCGAGGGACCACCCCCCUACCUCAGCCUCACUUUUGCAUGUGCGGGAUCUGAGGGACCUAACCCCCGGCUCCCUGGGCCCUAGCUGCUCCUGCGUCCCGGCCCUGACUGUCCAAAUCCAGUGGUCUGUCCGUGCCCACCCAAAGCUCCAUUCCUCUGUGGCCUCUAAUUCUCCCCCAGCCCCUCCAGAUCCCUGCCCUCUUCAUCUGCCUCAGUUUCAUCCAGUCCUGGAAACAGUCAGGUCUGUUCUUUAGUCGGGGAAAGAAAUGGUGGCAGCCGGGAGCACUGGGAUUGUCUAGAGAGGUGCAGGUGGGGACAGUAGGGAAGGCCCCCUUGCAGAGGUGCCAGGAGCCCCAGGAUAGGGCGUCAAGGAGCCAGGGUGGAUGCAUUGAAGGAGCUGACCAGGGACCUGGGCAGCUGAGAGUGAGGAGGGAGGGGACAGAUGGGAGAGGUGGCAGAGUCCAGGGCUUCCAGGGACUGAGGACCACUCACUCCGGGCAUCUGAAGUGAGGGUGCCAUGAUGGGACUUCUGUUUGUGGCAAGCAUUGACGCCUCUCGGGGAGGCUCACUUUGGGGAGGAGGACAGGAGAGAAAAGUUGCUGGGAGUGGGUUCAAAAGCCAGCCACUGUGGGGGUGCCGGUGGCAGACAUCUACGACUGGCGCCAAGGUGGAGGCAGUGCAGAGGGACAGGCGUGGGCAAUACCAGAUGGAGCUGGAGGUGGACGAUGAGAUCCGAGGUGGGAGUAGGGAGUGCUAAGCAUUGCCCACCAGCUGAGCCUUGAGCAGCUCUAGAGUCAGGUGAGCGCUGCACAGGUGAGUGAGUGGGGCAUCUACCUGGACGGACAGGUGUGUGUUUACCAAGGUGCACAGGAGUCGAGGUGUGUGUUUACCCAGGUGAGUAGGUGGGGCCGCGGGCCAUUUACUGGGAAGACAAGGGGAUGGGUGUGCAUAGAUGGCUCUAUUCAGAUCCCCUUUAGGGGUCAGCCUACUGGUCCCCAGCUGCUGACUGUUGCCUCCUGGUGGCUCAUGGCCACCUUGGUCUUGGAGAAUUGUCCUGGGGAAUGAGAGCCACCCACACAGCAGCCCUCCAGACCCAGAGGCAGAACCCUGACAAUGGCUGAUACCUGGGCAUCCCUGCUUUGCCGAAAGGUGGUUCAGAUCUGUGAAGUUCUCAGUGUCUGCCACAGCGGUUCCAUGUGGAAUGAUGAAAACUGACCUGUAACAGAGACAGCUUUCUGCUCAGCAGUCUGCACUCUACCACCCAGCCCUGUCCUACUUCCACGGUGACCAGGCAUCUCAGUUUUCCCAAGACUAAGGAAUUUCCCGGAAAGCAGGGCUGUCAGCACCAAAACCUGGGAAAGUCACAGGCAAAUCAGGAUGGGGAGUCCCUCUAGGUUUCUGUUGUGUCUCCCAAAGAGAUGCCAAAGUCCUCGCUCAUCCUAUCUGUGAAUGUGAACUUAUUUAGAAAUAAGAUCUUUGCAGAUGUAAUUACACUUAAAUUAACUAGCUGGGCAUGUUGGUACACAUCUGUGGUACCAGCUACUUUGGAGGCUGAGGUGAGAAGAUUGCUUGAGCCCAGAAGGUUGAGGCUGCACUGAGCUGUGACCACAUCACUGCACUUCAGCCUGGCCAAGAGAGCAAGACCCUGCCUGUAAACCAGACAACAACAAGAACCAUGCAAAUGAAGAUGAAGUCAUACCGGAGUAGGGUAUGUCCUUAACCCAGUAAGACUGAUGAAGUCCUCAGAAGAGAAGAGCCACAUACAGGAGAAGACCAUGUGGUGACCAAGGUGGAGAUGGGAGGGGGCAUUUGUGAGCCAAGGAAUGCCCAGUGGGUCCAGCAAGGCCAGAUGCUGGGAGAAGGGCACCGGGUAGACUGUCCCCUGGAGCCUUCCGAGAGCACGACACUGCUGACACCCUGAUCUGGGUUCCUGACCUCUGGAAGUAUGAACAAGUAAGCUCCUGUUGGAAACCGUUCAGGGCUCAGCACCACCGGAAGGCAGCACAGACUUCCUCACUCUCCUGGGCACACGCUCAGCAACAGCCCGAGAACAAGAAUCCUUGCUUCAGGCUUUGCUUCUAGGGAACUCGACCUCAACAGUGGGUGUCUGGUGGGUGGCCCUGGGAAGCCCACCUGAAGGACAGCACUCUGAAAUUGGCUCCUGCGCCGGCAGGGUGGCAACGAGGAGCUGUCACUCUUCUCGUGUUUCCAGCAUUUUGUGGUGUUCCAUCCUCGUAGAUGCCAAGGUGUCAGGUGGAGAACUGACAGCCCCCGGCCUGGGUCACAGUGUGACAGUAAGAACUGUCACCAGGGGGAACUGGGAUGGGAGACAUUUGGAGGCAGUGUCACUGGUGCAGUGCCCUGGGCACCUGAGAGGUGGGGAGGAACUCCAAGAGCCAUGGGACUGAGAGGCUGUUGCUAAGCACUGUUGAUUCCUUGAGGAGAGAACAUGACAGAUCCAGACACACCGAUCAACAGCAUGAAGCAGAGUGCCCCGCAUCAGAGCCCAGCUGGCACAUGCAGAGACUGGCCGGCGGGUGGACAGAAAUGAAGAUGAGGCCCCGGGGGUUAGUGGAGCACAGCCGAACUCCAGGAGAAGCAGGGGAUCUCAACCUAAACAAGGCUCUCACAGCAAAGUGACAGCCUGAUAGUGAAGGGGUGGGACGCUGAUGUGUGGGGCGGUGUAUCUGAGUGGAUGGCCUUGCGCACUUAGGUUUUUUAUUUUGAGAGUUUUUUUUUUUUUUUGAGACAGAGUUUUGCUCUCAUUGCCCAGGCUACACUGCAGUGUUGCAAUCUAGGCUCACUGCAACCUCUGCCUUCUGGUUUCAAGCAAUUCUGCCUCAGCCUCCCAAGUAGCUGGGAUUACAGGUGCCCACCGCCAUGCCCAGCUAAUUUUUUUUGUAUUUUUAGUAGAGAUGGGGUUUCACCAUGCUGGUCAGGCUGGUCUCGAACUGCUGACCUCGUGAUCCACCCGCCUUGGUCUCCCAAAGUGCUGGGAUUACAGGCGUGAGCCACCGCGCCCGGCCUUGAGGGGUUUAUUUGACAUGGAGUCUUGCUCUGGUGCCCAGGCAGGAGUGCAGUGGCAUGAUCAUAGCUUACUGCAGCCUCCAACUCCCAGGCUCAAGUGAUCGUCCCACCUCAGCCUCCCAAGUAGUUGGGACUACAGGUGUGCACCACCAUGCCCUGCUAAUUUUUAAAAAAUAUUUUUUAGAGACAAGGUCUCACUAUGUUGCCUAGGCUGUUUUCAAACUCCUGGCCUCAAGUGAUCCUCCAGCCUCGGCCUCCCAAAAUGCUGGGAUUAUAGGCAUGAGCCACCAUGCCAAGCCCUUUAUACCUUUUCUAUAUUUUUCUUGCUUUAUUGCACUGACUAAAACCUCCAGGACAACGUUGAAUAGAAGUGUCAUGGAUAUCCUUACUUUACUCUUAAUUUUAGGGAGAAAAUAACCAACGUUUUGCCAGAAAGUA